rnacentral:lncRNA from 1 species
AUGGAGCUGCCCCAUGGAGCUGCCCCACGCAGGAAGCUGGCCUGGUGCCAGGGAAGGUGGCUGGCUGAGUGCCGGGACGGGGGUCAGUCUGUGCCAGGGCUGGGCUCGUUGCCAGGGCUGGUGUCCCUGCCAAACCCAGCUUUGCCCCGGAGGCUCUUCGGGGAGACAGGAGGAGCCCUGGCAGGAAUAAAUCUUGCCCCUCACCUUCUCCUGCUUCACUCAAGACUCACCAGACCACAGAGGAAGAUGAAGGUCGCUGUGCUCAGUGUGGCCCUGCUCAUCGCCGUCCUGUGCCACCCGGCAGAUGCGCAGGUGAGCCCCCCAUCACGGGCACAGGCUGAAGGCUGGAGGUGGGGGUGGGCUGCAGCAGGCCCCUCUGGCCAGGCGUACUUUGCCCUCUUUGCACACUGGGGCCUCAGCGCAAUGUGGGUCCGUGCCUGGGUGCCCGGGUCUCUUUCAUACCUUCUCUUGCUCCUCUCCCUCCAGGUACGGGUGGCUCUUCAGCCCCCUGAAUCAUCUGUGGUGGCCUUGGACCAGGUGGUAAGUGCUCACGUGGCCCCUCAGGUCUCACUCUGGGCAAUAGGACCCCAAAGAGGUGACCUUCCAGAGCUCUCUGGCCAGACUGGGCUGGGAUACCUCCCCCAGCUGACAGCUGUCAACUCUCUUGCAAAAGAAACCCGCAGUGGACGCGGCAGAUGUUGAUCUGACAGCAAAUGAAGAUGUUGCCGUGUCAGUGAGUAGCGGGGUGACCCUGGGGUUGGCCAGGCUGGGCAAGCGGAGUGUUGUGCUGUCCCUUCUCAUUCCUCAUGGCAUGUGGGGACAUCCCUGUGACCUACCAGGUCUCUCGUGGGCUCCCUCCUGCUGCAGGUGGACAAUGUGCAGGAGAAGGGGGCUCUGGGAGG